UGGGGAAUAUUGGACAAUGGGCGAAAGCCUGAUCCAGCAAUACCGCGUGUGUGAAGAAGGCCUUCGGGUUGUAAAGCACUUUAAGUUGGGAAGAAAAAACUUUACCUAAUACGUGAAGUCUUGACGGUACCGACAGAAUAAGCACCGGCUAACUCUGUGCCAGCAGCCGCGGUAAUACAGAGGGUGCUAGCGUUAAUCGGAUUUACUGGGCGUAAAGCGUGCGUAGGUGGUUCGAUAAGUCGGUUGUGAAAGCCCCGGGCUCAACCUGGGAAUUGCGGCCGAUACUGUCAGACUCGAAAACGGUAGAGGGAGGUGGAACUCCAGGUGUAGCGGUGAAAUGCGUAGAUAUCUGGAAGAACAUCGAUGGCGAAGGCAGCCUCCUGGGCCUGUUUUGACACUGAGGCACGAAAGCGUGGGUAGCAAACA
rnacentral:rRNA from 1 species